rnacentral:rRNA from 1 species
UUCUAUUAGAAAUUAUUAAUAGUAAAAUCUGCUCCAUGUUUAAUAAAUAGCCGCAAUUUGUGCUAAGGUAGCAUAAUCAUUUGUCUUUUAAAUGAAGACUAGAACAAAAGAUUUAACAUUUUCAGUUCAUUUUCCUAAUUUAAAUUAUUAAAAUUUUCCUAAAUGUAAAAAGACAUUUAUUCUAAAGAAAGACGAUAAGACCCUAUUGAACUUAACUGCAGUUAAACUGGGGCAGUAAAUUAAUUAUUAUUUUAAUAAAACUUAUUAUAUAAGUAUCUAAUAAAAUUAAAUAAUUCAGUUACCAUAGGGAUAACAGCGUAAUAAUUUUCUAAAGAUCUUAUUUAAAAUAUAGAUUACGACCUCGAUGUUGAAUUAAUAACCUAAAUAAGGCAAAACUUAAAAAAGGAAGUCUGUUCGACUUUUAAAAAAUUACAUGAUUUGAGUUCAGACCGGUAUAAGCCAGGUCGGUUUCUAUCUUCUAAAAAAUUUUUUACAGUACGAAAGGACCUAAAAAUUUAAUA